rnacentral:tRNA from 1 species
GCCGUCGUGGUCUAGUGGUUAGGACACUGCGUUGUGGCCGCAUUAACCCAGGUUCGAAUCCUGGCGACGGCA